GGAAUUUUGGACAAUGGGCGCAAGCCUGAUCCAGCAAUGCCGCGUGAGUGAAGAAGGCCUUCGGGUUGUAAAGCUCUUUUGUCAGGGAAGAAACGGGUUUUUCUAAUACAGAGACCUAAUGACGGUACCUGAAGAAUAAGCACCGGCUAACUACGUGCCAGCAGCCGCGGUAAUACGUAGGGUGCAAGCGUUAAUCGGAAUUACUGGGCGUAAAGCGUGCGCAGGCGGUUUUGUAAGACUGUCGUGAAAUCCCCGGGCUCAACCUGGGAAUGGCGAUGGUGACUGCAAGGCUAGAGUUUGGCAGAGGGGGGUAGAAUUCCACGUGUAGCAGUGAAAUGCGUAGAUAUGUGGAGGAACACCGAUGGCGAAGGCAGCCCCCUGGGUCAAAACUGACGCUCAUGCACGAAAGCGUGGGGAGCAAACAGGAUUAGAUACCCCGG
rnacentral:rRNA from 1 species